rnacentral:rRNA from 1 species
UACUCAGUUCAGAUUGCAGGCUGCAACCCGCCUGCAUGAAGUCGGAAUUGCUAGUAAUCGCGGAUCAGCAUGCCGCGGUGAAUACGUUCCCGGGCCUUGUACACACCGCCCGUCACACCAUGGGAGCCGGUAAUACCCGAAGUCAGUAGUCCAACCUCGUGAGGACGCUGCCGAAGGUAGGAUUGGCGACUGGGGUGAAGUCGUAACAAGGUAAC